rnacentral:misc_RNA from 1 species
CAUAGUAGUUGUCGGGCUGUUGAUGCCAUCUGCCUUACUUCCCCUUCCAUUACCCCUGUCUUUUGCGUACCUACCUGUUUCCUCGGCAGGCUUCGCCUGCCGAUUGGACACUCUUAUAACCAUUUUGUAGCUUGCAAUCAGCGUCUGAAAAAUUUAAUAGUUA